rnacentral:rRNA from 1 species
UUGCCCUCCAAUUGUUCCUCGUUAAGGGAUUUAAAUUGUACUCAUUCCAAUUACAAGACCCAAAAGAGCCCUGUAUCAGUAUUUAUUGUCACUACCUCCCCGUGUCGGGAUUGGGUAAUUUGCGCGCCUGCUGCCUUCCUUGGAUGUAGUAGCCGUUUCUCAGGCUCCUUCUCCGGGGUCGAGCCCUAA